GUGCCAGCCGCCGCGGUAAUACGGAGGGUGCAAGCGUUGUCCGGAAUUACUGGGCGUAAAGCGCACGCAGGCGGUUUGUUAAGCUAGAUGUGAAAGCCCCGGGCUCAACCUGGGACGGUCAUUUAGAACUGGCAGACUAGAGUCUUGGAGAGGGGAGUGGAAUUCCAGGUGUAGCGGUGAAAUGCGUAGAUAUCUGGAGGAACAUCAGUGGCGAAGGCGACUCCCUGGCCAAAGACUGACGCUCAUGUGCGAAAGUGUGGGUAGCGAACAGGAUUAGAAACCCCUGUAGUCC
rnacentral:rRNA from 1 species